rnacentral:rRNA from 1 species
AUUCCAGCUCCAAUAGCGUAUAUUAAAGUUGUUGCAGUUAAAAAGCUCGUAGUUGAACUUUGGGCUUGGAGAAUCGGUCCAACUUUGUUGUGUACUGUCUUCUCCAGGUCUUUCCUUCUGGUUCUCAUUUGGGGUUUACUCCAUUUGUUGAUCCAGGAUUUUUACUUUGAAAAAAUUAGAGUGUUCAAAGCAGGCGUUUUGCUCGAAUAUAUUAGCAUGGAAUAAUAGAAUAGGACGAUUGGUUCUAUUUUGUUGGUUUCUAGGGCCAUCGUAAUGAUUAAUAGGGACGGUCGGGGGCAUCAGUAUUCAGUUGUCAGAGGUGAAAUUCUUGGAUUUACUGAAGACUAACUACUGCGAAAGCAUUUGUCAAGGACGUUUUCAUUA